UCAGGAAGUUUGAAGACUGGUUCUGCUACUUCCAGGCUGUGUGGCCUUGGGUGCCGUGCCUGCGUUUGUGCGGUUGAAGGAAAGGAGGAAAAUGAGAAGGGCCAAGAUUGACCUGACUUGAUUUACGGGAAAGAAGAGACAGUUGCUGGAGGAAGAAGGACCCAUCCACUGGAAAAGGAUGAGAAAAAGGAGAGAGAGAGAAGUCAGAGGCUGGGUUGGGAGUGAAUUUGGGAGAUUGUGGAGGAAAAGAGGAGAGAGAUUUGUGGGGUAGCUGUAGGACAUGCAACUGUAUUUAGAAAGGGAGAGAGUUGGGAGACUUUGUGGGAUUAUUA
rnacentral:lncRNA from 1 species